rnacentral:lncRNA from 1 species
GACCCGCUUUUGGGGCGUGCCUGCUUCCUCCUCUCUGUUAGGUGAGUGAGUAGGCGUCAUUCUUCACAGUAGUCCUCUGCCUCCACCGCCCCGGGAUCUCCUUGCGCUCGGUCCUCUACGUGGAGUCACCUAUGCAGAGGAAUUCCACGGGGCGGGGGCGAGGACAGGGUGCGGGGGUCUUUAUGGCAGACAAUCCCCGGCUGAGCGCUUGGCCAGAGUUUCUGUGAUGCUAGAAUCUGGACUGCCUGCGACCUCUCCGGGACUCGGACACCAGCCCUCGCCUCCUGGUGAUCUUUUAGGUCCUGCAGAGAAGUGAAGAGAUCUCGCUCUGUCACCCAGGCUGGAGUGAAAUGGCACAAUCUUGGCUCACUGUAACCUCCGCCCCCAGGUUCGACUGAUUCUCGUGCCUCAGCCUCCUCAGUAGCUGGGAUUACAGGAUGGAGAGUAAAGGAGGUAAAGGAGGACUCUGAUGCCUCAGCCAUGCGCCUGUGUGCCGAUUCCCAUUAAGCCUGCACCAAUUUGAUUUCCAAGACUCCAGUCAAUCCUCAGAGCUCCAGGAGGGGAGGGGCAGCUUUUCCUGGUAGCUGCUGAUCACCAGCAGAGGGAGCCCUAGGACUGCAGGGCCUCUUUCCUUACCGUUGGUGAAGCCCUUCACUGUGGCUUCAAAACUGUGGAAGACCCGGGAUUUGUGGAUCACUUGCCUUUAGAAUAGAAUCAAGAAAUAAAGCUGCAGAAGAAAGAAUCUCCAUGUGAUGAGCCCCAGAGAGGCGAAGCCACUUGAGCUCGUGAGUGACAGUCAGAUGUCAAGCCCUGCUCUUUCUAAAGCGUGCUGCCUUCAGAAAAGAAGAGCCAGAAGGAUGGAAAUUACUUCAGAAAGAUGAAUACCAGCUUUGAAGGAAUAAAAGCUGACGAGGAAUUGAAGGAGUUGAGGCACGAGCUUGAACAGGGUUGCAUGUUUGGCCCUUGAUUGUAAAUGCCCAUUGCUGCACCUGUUCCUGUUACUUGGGGAGUUGCAGCAGAAGGAACAGCGGCCUGGGACUCCAGAGAACUGGGUUCCCUCUCAUCCCUCCAGGGCCACCACUUCUUGUGGGCCCUUGGGCAAGUCACUGUACUUUCUGAGUCUCAGUUUCCCCAUUUGCAGAAUGGAAAUAACUACCCCGGUCUACCAACUUAGAAGAAUUGCUUUGAGGAUCUGAUAAGGUGGUGUGGAUGAUGCUGCCUUGGGGGCUUUACAGUCUGGAGCUCAAGGGACCCCUUAAGUUGGGCUUACUUAGUAACUCCAGGGGUGGGCAGAACAGGACUCCAAUGAGGGUUUUUUUCUUUUUCCCUUUUUUUUCUUUUCCUAUCUCUUAACUUUUAUCUUUAUUAUUUUACAAUGCCCUUGUAAGAUGAAACAAGUGAUGCUGAAAUAUCUUUUUCUUUUUUAACCUUUAUUUUAGAAUUGGGGUACAUGUGCAGGUUUGUUACAUAGGUACAGUGUGGGCUGCUGAGGUUUGGGAGUACGAAUGAAUUAGUCACCCCAGUGGUGAGCAUAGUGCCCGAUAAGUGGUUUUUUCAACCCUUACUCCCAUCCCUCUCCAUUCUUGUGUUCCCCAGUGUCUGCUGUUCCCAUUUUUAUGACCAUGUGUACUCAAUGUUUAGCUCCCACUUAGAAGUAAGAACAUGCCCAGCACUUUGGGAGGCCGAGGUGGGUGGAUCAUGAGGUCAAGAGAUCGAGACCAUCUUGGCUAACAAAGUGAAACCCUGUCUCUACUAAAAACAUAAAAAAUUGGCCGGGUGUGGUGGUGGGCACCUGUAGUCCUAGCUACUCGGGAGGCUGAGACAGGAGAAUCGCCUGAACCGGGGAGGUGGAGGUUGCAGUGAGCUGAGAUUGUACCACUGCACUCCAGCCUGGGUGACAGAGU